CAAGGUCCCAACACUCAAGCUGCAGAGGCGGGAACUCCCUACGGAUCACUACUGAGCGCCGACAGAGCCAAACUGGGAGAGAGAGAGAGAGAGACAAAGGGCUCGGACUUGGACAAGAGGGGAAGAGGAAAGCCUAGAGGAGGGAUUGAAGGAGGAAGACACACAAUCAGAACAUACUGUAUCAAAAAAAAAAUCUAUUUUCAAUUUUUUUACAAAAAUGUGAAGCUUAACAGAACCCUGAAGAUGUCCGUGUGUGGGUUUCCAACUCACUUAAAGUAGUCACUGUGGCCAAGAAUGAACCAGGGUUUUACCUGUUUCUCCUGUCAUCGAGGAGUGGGGUGGAAUGGUUACAGCAAAUUACAGCGUCAGUUGCCACCGCCCACUUCAGCAAUAAAAAGUCCCAGAUUUAAAAUACAGGAAGCAGAUUUCAUCAAAGGAGUUCCUUACUGUGAAAAGGCACAAUGAGGAGGCAGGCAAGCAUGGCUCUGGAGCAGCAGCUGAGAGCUUACUCUCUGAUCCACAACAGGAGAUAAAGAGAGUUCACCGAGAACGACAUGGCCUUUGGAAACCUCCAAGUUCAGCCCUAGUCACAGUAACAGUGACAUGAGUUCACCAAGGAGAACACACCUACUAAAGUGUUCAUGUGACAUGUGUUUGAUGAAAGGAUGGGACGUAUGGGAAGGACACACAGACACACAGACUGCUUCAGCCGUAGGGAGCACUCUCCUGGAUCACCGGAUAAAUAAUGUCUUCUCUUGUCUUCAGUUUGGGAAGUUUUUUUUAAACACUUUUUUUGUGAAUAAUAUAUUUAAAUUUUUUUCAUACUAUA
rnacentral:lncRNA from 1 species